rnacentral:rRNA from 1 species
GACGAACGCUGGCGGCGUGCUUAACACAUGCAAGUCGAACGGGCCCGCCCCUGUUUUUGGGGGUGGGUUGAGUGGCGAACGGGUGAGUAUCACGUGAGUAACCUGCCCCCUGCUCCUGGAUAACUGCUUGAAAGGGCGGCUAAUACGGGGUGUGCCGGCUGGUCCGCAUGGGCCUGGUCGGGAUAGUUUCAUCUUCGGGUGUUUCGGUGGGGGAUGGGCUCGCGGCCUAUCAGCUUGUUGGUGGGGUGAUGGCCCACCAAGGCGGUGACGGGUAGCCGGCCUGAGAGGGUGGGCGGCCACACUGGGACUGAGACACGGCCCAGACUCCUGCGGGAGGCAGCAGUGGGGGGUAUUGCACAAUGGGCGGAAGCCUGAGGCAGCGACGUCGCGUGAGGGAUGGAGGCCUUCGGGUUGUGAACCUCUUUCUCCGGUGGUGAAGGCCCUGUCCGUUGCGGCGGGGUUGACGGUAGCCGGGUAUGAAGCGCCGGCUAACUACGUG